UGAGUAACCUGCCCUUAACUCUGGGAUAAGCCUGGGAAACUGGGUCUAAUACCGGAUAUGACUCCUCAUCGCAUGGUGGGGGGUGGAAAGCUUUAUUGUGGUUUUGGAUGGACCCGCGGCCUAUCAGCUUGUUGGUGAGGUAAUGACUCACCAAGGCGACGACGGGUAGCCGGCCUGAGAGGGUGACCGGCCACACGUGGGACUGAGACACGGCCAGACUCCGUACGGGAGGCAG
rnacentral:rRNA from 1 species